rnacentral:rRNA from 1 species
UACAGAGGGGGCAAGCGUUGUUCGGAAUUACUGGGCGUAAAGGGCGCGUAGGCGGCCUGCUAAGUCGAACGUGAAAUCCCUGGGCUCAACCCAGGAACUGCGUCCGAUACUGGUUGGCUUGAAUCCGGGAGAGGGACGUGGAAUUCCAGGUGUAGCGGUGAAAUGCGUAGAUAUCUGGAGGAACACCGGUGGCGAAGGCGACGUCCUGGACCGGCAUUGACGCUGAGGCACGAAAGCCAGGGGAGCAAACGGGG